rnacentral:misc_RNA from 1 species
UUCACAUUCACUGCUCUUAAACCUACCAUUCUUCAUCGUUAUAGUGUAUACAUCAAAAGACAAGCAUCAUCUAAUGAAUGUAAUACAGACUUUAUCCAAAUCAUCUUACUGUUUAAACACAUUAAAUGAUAUGAAAGACAAUAUACUGAAGUUGCCAAUUUGAGGUCAGACUGUAACUAGGAACACAAUUGGCGCAACACUUUGUCUAAAUAAAGGUUGUGCAGCAAGUUUUGAGAAUGUAUUGAGCUCAACCUGAGCCAUUCUUCCAUCACUGAUGAUAGAACGUCAUCAUUGAAGGGGCGACUAAGCCAAAUGCAAUAUGCGAUAUCUGAAUCCAUUUGAUCCUUGAAAAAUUAUCCAACGCCUCUGACAUACUGAUCGAGGGUAGAAUUAAAUAGCUCACACUUGAUAGGAGCCCCUGGGGAGUAGAGCGGAUUCUUCACCACAUAUUCAACAUACAAAUUGUAAAUAUACUUCAAAGAUUCCCUUAGAUCACCAGUCCUAGGAUGUGUGACAAGGAUGAUCUUUAUUCCAGAUGGACUUUCCAUGAAACUGAGUUUAUAUGUAUUAGUCCGAAAGCUGUGAAACGAACAUCCUUGUCCAGGUAAUUGCGGCACCCCAAGAUUACCUUUUUCAGUACUUGUGGGAUCCAUCUUAGCGGUCAAAGAUUUGAG